CGCAAGACGUCAGUGGCAGACGGGUGAGUAACGCGUGGGAACAUACCCUCCGGUUCGGAAUAACUCAGGGAAACUUGAGCUAAUACCGGAUACGGCUUAGCGGCGAAAGAUUGAUCGCCGGAGGAUUGGCCCGCGUCCGAUUAGCUUGUUGGCGGGGUAACGGCCCACCAAGGCGACGAUCGGUAGCUGGUCUGAGAGGAUGAUCAGCCACAUUGGGACUGAGACACGGCCCAAACUCCUACGGGAGGCAGCAGUGGGGAAUAUUGGACAAUGGGCGCAAGCCUGAUCCAGCCAUGCCGCGUGAGUGAUGACGGCCUUAGGG
rnacentral:rRNA from 1 species